rnacentral:rRNA from 1 species
GAUGAACGCUGGCGGCGUGCCUAAUACAUGCAAGUCGAGCGAACAGAUGAGGAGCUUGCUCCUCUGACGUUAGCGGCGGACGGGUGAGUAACACGUGGAUAACCUACCUAUAAGACUGGGAUAACUUCGGGAAACCGGAGCUAAUACCGGAUAAUAUCUUGAACCGCAUGGUUCAAUAGUGAAAGACGGUUUUGCUGUCACUUAUAGAUGGAUCCGCGCCGCAUUAGCUAGUUGGUAAGGUCACGGCUUACCAAGGCAACGAUGCGUAGCCGACCUGAGAGGGUGAUCGGCCACACGGGAGCUGAGACACGGUCCAGACUCCUACGGGAGGCAGCAGUAGGGAAUCGUCCGCAAUGGGCGAAAGCCUGACGGAGCAACGCCGCGUGAGUGAUGAAGGUCUUCGGAUCGUAAAACUCUGUUAUUAGGGAAGAACAAAUGUGUAAGUAACUAUGCACGUCUUGACGGUACCUAAUCAGAAAGCCACGGCUAACUACGUG